GACGAACGCUGGCGGCGUGCUUAACACAUGCAAGUCGAACGGAAAGGCCCUGCUUUUGUGGGGUGCUCGAGUGGCGAACGGGUGAGUAACACGUGAGUAACCUGCCCUUGACUUUGGGAUAACUUCAGGAAACUGGGGCUAAUACCGGAUAGGAGCUCCUGCUGCAUGGUGGGGGUUGGAAAGGUUCGGCGGUUGGGGAUGGACUCGCGGCUUAUCAGCUUGUUGGUGGGGUAGUGGCUUACCAAGGCUUUGACGGGUAGCCGGCCUGAGCGGGUGACCGGCGACAUUGGGACUGAGAUACGGCCCAGACUCCUACGGGAGGCAGCAGUGGGGAAUAUUGCACAAUGGGCGGAAGCCUGAUGCAGCAACGCCGCGUGCGGGAUGACGGCCUUCGGGUUGUAAACCGCUUUCGCCUGUGACGAAGCGUGAGUGACGGUAAUGGGUAAAGAAGCACCGGCUAACUACGUG
rnacentral:rRNA from 1 species